AACGCGAAGAACCUUACCUGGUCUUGACAUCCACAGAAGUUUGCAGAGAUGCGAAUGUGCCUUCGGGAACUGUGAGACAGGUGCUGCAUGGCUGUCGUCAGCUCGUGUUGUGAAAUGUUGGGUUAAGUCCCGCAACGAGCGCAACCCUUAUCCUUUGUUGCCAGCGGUCCGGCCGGGAACUCAAAGGAGACUGCCAGUGAUAAACUGGAGGAAGGUGGGGAUGACGUCAAGUCAUCAUGGCCCUUACGACCAGGGCUACACACGUGCUACAAUGGCGCAUACUAAGAGAAGCGACCUCGCGAGAGCAAGCGGACCUCAUAAAGCCCUCCUAUCCGGAUUGGAGUCUGCAACUCGACUCCAUGAAGUCGGAAUCGCUAGUAAUCGUGGAUCAGAAUGCCA
rnacentral:rRNA from 1 species